CAAGAACUAGAAACAUCAGAGUGAAAUAAUCAAACUUCAAAUGGUGCUGCAGACAGAGUCACACAUGGACACAUCAUUCUUUUGAGAAAGCUUAUAUCAACCUCAGGAGGACCUCCAUCUGCUGUCCCCUGACAUGACACCCCUUUCAGCAAGAAGCAGAGAGAAAUAAUCAUCAUCCAACACCUCCUAACAGCAGUUAGAGUCACAUCUCCUGAGGGAAGAAAUAAUACAGGAAUUAUUAAAAAAAUAUUUUGAAGCAGGUUUUAGAAAGGGGUAAAAGAAGCCUUAGUGGAAUUUUCCUUUAAUAAAAAGCAGCCCCAAACCAUUUCUUCUCUAACAGAAAGCAGCCUGAUGAACACGCAGACUAGAAGCUUUUAUAUCUAAAUGCUGGCAGCUGUACCUGGAAGCCAGGCACAUUCAAUAUGGCAUUUUCCUUGUCACCAUGUUUAUGGGUGUCUUGGCACCAUCCAGGCAAAACCAUG
rnacentral:lncRNA from 1 species